GAAAAAUCAGUUUUGUACUCAUUUAGCGAAAAUGGGAACUCCGAUCUCCGGCGAAUUAGACGAUUGGGAUCGACCUUUUACAGAGGAAGAACUCCAAGAGAUAGAUGCUGCAUUUGAAUCAGCUACCAAGAGAAAAAGCGAUUCUGUAGUCGCCGCCGGCGAAGAAUCCCGUCGGAAAAGUCGCCGGAAAUUGCCGGCAUCUCUUUUUGUAUAUCAUCAACAAAAUGAGGUUUCCGAUUCGUCAUUGUUGUCUCCUUGCACUAGAAAUCAGUCUCGGU
rnacentral:misc_RNA from 1 species